AACGGCAGCACGGACUUCGGCCUGGUGGCUAGUGGCGAACGGGUGAGUAAUGCAUCGGAACGUGCCCAGUCGUGGGGGAUAACUAGUCGAAAGAUUAGCUAAUACCGCAUACGACCUGAGGGUGAAAGCGGGGGACCGUAAGGCCUCGCGCGAUUGGAGCGGCCGAUGUCUGAUUAGCUAGUUGGUGGGGUAAAGGCUCACCAAGGCGACGAUCAGUAGCGGGUCUGAGAGGAUGAUCCGCCACACUGGGACUGAGACUCUGGCCCAGACUCCUACGGGAGGCAGCAGUGGGGAAUUUUGGACAAUGGGGGAAACCCUGAUCCAGCCAUUCCGCGUGCAGGAAGAAGGCCUUCGGGUUGUAAACUGCUUUCGGACGGAAAGAAAUCGCCAUUCCUAAUACGAGUGGUGGAUGACGGUACCGUAAGAAGAAGCACCGGCUAACUACGUGCCAGCAGCCGCGGUAAUACGUAGGGUGCGAGCGUUAAUCGGAAUUACUGGGCGUUAAGCGUGCGCAGGCGGAUAUUUAAGUCAGGUGUGAAAUCCCG
rnacentral:rRNA from 1 species